UUUGAACGCUGGCGGCAGGCCUAACACAUGCAAGUCGAGCGGAUGAAGGGAGCUUGCUCCUGGAUUCAGCGGCGGACGGGUGAGUAAUGCCUAGGAAUCUGCCUGGUAGUGGGGGAUAACGUCCGGAAACGGGCGCUAAUACCGCAUACGUCCUGAGGGAGAAAGUGGGGGAUCUUCGGACCUCACGCUAUCAGAUGAGCCUAGGUCGGAUUAGCUAGUUGGUGGGGUAAAGGCCUACCAAGGCGACGAUCCGUAACUGGUCUGAGAGGAUGAUCAGUCACACUGGAACUGAGACACGGUCCAGACUCCUACGGGAGGCAGCAGUGGGGAAUAUUGGACAAUGGGCGAAAGCCUGAUCCAGCCACGCCGCGUGUGUGAAGAAGGUCUUCGGAUUGUAAAGCACUUUAAGUUGGGAGGAAGGGCAGUAAGUUAAUACCUUGCUGUUUUGACGUUACCAACAGAAUAAGCACCGGCUAACUUCGUG
rnacentral:rRNA from 1 species